UUAUGUUCCACUCUACGGAUGUGUCUACCUUCCUGCUCUUACCAGCCGGCCUAAAGUCUUUCCUGUUGUAUUCACUUGGUCCGUAGGGCCUCCCAGUCUUUCAGUGAUGGCUUAGAGCUUCCAUCUUCAGUAACUUUCAGGUUCUGGACUGGCAUCUUUGUAUCCUCCUCCCCUCAGUCACCAGGCCAUUCUACCAGUCUGAUUCUUCACAAAAUAUGGCAGAAGAUCAGCCAACACAACUCUGGGGAAGAAAGAAGGCCAAUUCUAACACCUGAAUGCUUCAUUCAUGUCUGACUUCUCUUUUUACGAAAGCUUGUGUUAAUUCCUCAUGCUCCUGUAGGACAGGAUUGUUUCACACACUGAAAAACCAUCAUGAUUAUGGCUGGAGUGCAAUGGCGCGAUCUCGGCUCACCGCAACC